UACACGAGCGGCGAACGGGUGAGUAACACGUGAGCAACCUGCCCUUCUCAUCGGAAUAAGCGUUGGAAACGACGUCUAAUGCCGAAUACGACCUCAGAAGGCAUCUUCAGAGGUGGAAAGCUCCGGCGGAGAAGGAUGGGCUCGCGGCCUAUCAGCUUGUUGGUGGGGUAACGGCCCACCAAGGCGACGACGGGUAGCCGGCCUGAGAGGGUGACCGGCCACACUGGGACUGAGACACGGCCCAGACUCCUACGGGAGGCAGCAGUGGGGAAUAUUGGACAAUGGGCGAAAGCCUGAUCCAGCAACGCCGCGUGAGGGAUGACGGCCUUCGGGUUGUAAACCUCUUUCAGCACCGACGAAGCGAAAGUGACGGUAGGUGCAGAAGAAGGACCGGCCAACUACGUGCCAGCAGCCGCGGUAAUACGUAGGGUCCGAGCGUUGUCCGGAAUUAUUGGGCGUAAAGGGCUCGUAGGCGGUUUGUCGCGUCGGGAGUGAAAACUCAGGGCUCAACCCUGAGCGUGCUUCCGAUACGGGCAGACUAGAGGUAUGCAGGGGAGAACGGAAUUCCUGGUGUAGCGGUGGAAUGCGCAGAUAUCAGGA
rnacentral:rRNA from 1 species